rnacentral:ncRNA from 1 species
CUUACAAUUUCUUAUAAGGGGUAGACUAUACCUUAAACCAUUGCUGGCCCAUUAACGUCUAGUCGUUGAACAUUUUAUUUAGCUGCUGAUUAUCUUAACCAUGAUAUUGUUACAUUUGUAAUCAUGGUUAUCAAGACCUUUCAGCAAUUUGUUUAAUGUCGCAAGUCAAAUGACUUACUAAUAGCUAUUGCUAUUUUGAAGCUCAAUGUUAAGCUUGAAUGC